UUGAUGAGUUUCUUUAGUUGAAAUUUAGCUGUGCUGCGGCACUGACGGGCUUUUUUUUCCAUUUUGCUAUAUAGAAGAGAGAUUAUUAUUAUGAGUGUUGAAUGCGUUUUAAAUAUAAAAAAUUUUAAUGCGGUUUUUUUUUUCUUAUACUUUGUGAUUAAUCUAUUGAAUUUUUAAUUAAGAAAAAAAAUAAAAAAGAAAAAGAUUUUUCUGCUAUUAUUUUCGAUUUAAUUUGUUUUUUAAUAAAAAUUUAUUAAGUUUAUAAAUUGAAAAUAUCAAAUUAAAUUACAUUUUAUUAGUGAAAUUUGUAAAAACAAAAAAAAAAAGAGAAGAAAAAAUUUGGUGAAAAUAAAAAAAAAACAAAAACAACACAAUAUAAUCAGCCUACAUCCUUUAAGAUAAAUUCAGGGGAAAAAAUUUAUUCAUAUCAGUUUUUCGCCAAAAAAAAAAAGCAAACGAAAAAGAAUAUAUAUAUAUAUAUACAUAUAUAUAUAUAUAAGAAAAUAAAGGAUUAUUGUCAAGAAAAAAUAUUGAAAAAAAAAAAUUAUUUUCUCGUAUUAAAACUUAAACUUGGAAUAAAUGUAAUAAAAAAACGGAAAUAAAUAAAAGUAAAAAAAAAAAAUAAAUAAGUAAGAAAACGAUACAACGAAAAUUGUUUUUUAUGGCUUUAUACAUAAUAUAUGUAUGUAUAUUUAAAUAUAAAUAUACCAUACAUUAAAUGAAAUUGAAAAAAAAGGAUAAGAAAAUAGAAAUUCUUUUAGUUGAAUUUGAUGUAACAGAAUUAUUAUUAAAACAAAUUAAAUUAAACUAAGAAGAUAAAAAAAAAAGUGUAAAAGGUAUUAUACACAAAAAAAAAAAACAAGAAAACAAAAUUCCUUUAUUUUUUUUUUUAUUAAGUAAAAGAGUACGUUUAUUAAAAUACACAAAAAGGAUAUAUGUGGAUCCAAAAUCAUUAAAAGUAUUGUGGAAAAAAUCAUAUUAAAAGAAUUCAAAUUUAACUUUGAAGGAUUUUUCGUUUACUAUAUAUAGAGAACAAAUAGCUGCUUCUACUUGAAUAUUAUUUAUGAGAAGUAAAAGUUAAAAUAUUGUUUUAAUGAAAAUAGCUGCAAAAAAAAAAAAUUAAAUUUUUUUUAAAAUUAAUCGGAAAACGUUGCAAAUAACAAUUUUUUUUUUUUUUUUUUGUAACAAACAAAUUAAAAAAAAUUUUCCAAAAAAUUACUGAAGUGAAAAAGAAAAGUUAAUUUUGUUGAUUUUUCAAAACAAAAAAACGAAAAUAUUUUGUACCAAAAAACUAAGGCAAAAUAUGCUAAAACAACCCUGAAAAUCUAUUCCACAUAUUUUAUAUGUACAUCCACACACCUACACACAUACAUUUGAAAUAUUUACAGAAUGACAAGGCGUAAAAUUUUUCAAUAAUAAUAAAAAAAAAAAAAUAAAGCAAAUAAACAGUAAGCAAAGGCUUUAAAAAAUAUUAUAUGUAUAACAGAAAAAAAAACAAGAGUAUAAUAAAAAAAGAAAAAUAGCGGAAAAUAACAAACACAACGCUCAUAAAUUUAAUACAAAUUGCGUGAAAAUGUGCAAAUAACUGUAAUUGAAUAACAAUCAAUUUCGAAAUCGUUUAUCAUAUUUUUUUUCGCUUUUUUUUUUUUUUUUUUACAUUUCGUUUACAGUUCGAUUUUUUUUUGGGUUUGUGCUCAUUGUUUUUGUAUUAUUCUUCUUCUUCUUCAAAUAUAGAGGAAAAAGUGUUCUUAUUUGUUCGUGUUCGGUUAAUGAAUCGUAGCGCGGUUACCAUAUACACAUACUUUCGAACAAAAGAAUAUUAAAAAAAAAAAUAAAUAAAAUACAAAAAAUAAUAUUAAUAGAAAAAUUUCCAAUAUUGUUUAUCAUAUUGUACAAGGACAAAAAAAAAAAAAACAGAAAAAUAGAAAA